UACAGAGGUCUCAAGCGUUGUUCGGAUUCAUUGGGCGUAAAGGGUGCGUAGGCGGCGCGGUAAGUCGGGUGUGAAAUCUCGGAGCUUAACUCCGAAACUGCAUUCGAUACUGCCGUGCUUGAGGACUGGAGAGGAGACUGGAAUUUACGGUGUAGCGGUGAAAUGCGUAGAUAUCGUAAGGAAGACCAGUGGAGAAGGCGGGUCUCUGGACAGUUCCUGACGCUGAGGCACGAAGGCCAGGGGAGCAAACGGG
rnacentral:rRNA from 1 species